rnacentral:misc_RNA from 1 species
GAGUUUACAACUCCCAAACCCCUGUGAACAUACCACUUGUUGCCUCGGCGGAUCAGCCCGCUCCCGGUAAAACGGGACGGCCCGCCAGAGGACCCCUAAACUCUGUUUCUAUAUGUAACUUCUGAGUAAAACCAUAAAUAAAUCA